UUUCACACACACACACACACACACACACACACACACACACACACAUCCUCUUCUUUCUCGAAGCCUUCUCUGCGUUUUCUUGCUGGCUCUGGCCUGUCCUUGGCACCUCCCAGCCACCCGCUGAUCCGACGGCACCCAGGGCGGUGCAGUCUACUCCGGGGAAGGAGGCUCCGGGAUGAUCCCCGCGGCCCCGCGCCCGGCGGCGCCACGGAGACGUUGGAUGCUCCUGAGCCCCCAGCGCCUUCGGCGCCACCGCCACUGAUGCACCGUUCACGAGGCCUCAAAAGGGCGGUGGCGGUGGCCCGGGACCGACUCUCGGAUGGCCCAAAGCCGACGCUCGGGUAGCCUGAGGCUAUCCUUAGUCCCCAGACACCUUAGGGCCCCCGCAUCCUUUGGAGACGCUCGGAGAACGGAAGAACCGCGCGUUCCGAGAGAGGGCGCCAAAGGCGACGCGCUGGCGGCCAGCUCCAAGCCAACCAGGCCCGUAGCGUCCGCAGGAACCUGUCCCUUCUCCCCUAGGACUGGAGGCAGAGCUUCGGAGAGGAUCUGUCUGCGCGCGCGAGCGCGGAUUCAACGCCAGGGCGCCGCCUAGAGGACAGAGGGGAUAUAAACUGUUUGAAGUUCAUCAGCACGGUGAAGUUUUAUUGUAUUUCCGGUCCCCAAGAUUUACGCCCCCGGAGGAGAAGCCGGCAGCCAGGCAGACUCCCUCCUUACCUCCGACUUCCACUCCGGACACGAUAGCCACGAGGCUGCCACUCGCCUGCGGGUGCAGGGAGGGAGCGA